rnacentral:rRNA from 1 species
GACGAACGCUGGCGGCGUGCUUAACACAUGCAAGUCGAGCGGUAAGGCCCUUUCGGGGGUACACGAGCGGCGAACGGGUGAGUAACACGUGGGUGACCUGCCCUCAGCUCGUGGGAUAAGGCCUGGGAAACCGGGUCUAAUACUGGAUAUGACUCCAUGACGCAUGUUGUGGGGUGGAAGGCCUUGUGCGGCUGAGGAUGGGCCCGCGGCCUAUCAGCUUGUUGGUGGGGUGAUGGGCCUACCAAGGCGACGACGGGUAGCCGGCCUGAGAGGGCGACCGGCCACACUGGGACUGAGACACGGCCCAGACUCCUACGGGAGGCAGCAGUGGGGAAUCUUGCGCAAUGGGCGAAAGCCUGACGC